rnacentral:lncRNA from 1 species
CCAAUGAUAAUAUUAAUUGUCCCGUUUGAGCACUACUUCCUGCUCCAGGCUCUUUCCGAUUGUCAUGGUCAUUCCUCAGGCGUUUAUCAUGACCAAUGUAAUUCCUUAAUCGCCCUCUUUUAAUGAGGGCUUCAAUUUUUCGCUGCAAAGCUUGACAAUCCUCCGUGGUAUGCCCAUGAUCUCGGUGAAAUUCACAAUACUUGCUCUUAUCUCUUAUGUCAGGGGGUG